GUUCCAUUGGGGGCAUCUGAUACAAUUGGAAUGAUACAGAUAAGAUUAACAUGCUUUCUGCGCAAGAUGACACGGACAGGUAUAUUAUUGUGCCCUAGUUUA